CCUACGGGAGGCAGCAGUGAGGAAUAUUGGUCAAUGGACGAGAGUCUGAACCAGCCAAGUAGCGUGAAGGAUGACUGCCCUACGGGUUGUAAACUUCUUUUAUAUGGGAAUAAAACGUUCCACGUGUGGGAUUUUGUAUGUACCAUAUGAAUAAGGAUCGGCUAACUCCGUGCCAGCAGCCGCGGUAAUACGGAGGUGCCGAGCGUUAUCCGGAUUCAUUGGGUUUAAAGGGAGCGUAGGUGGUUUGUUAAGUCAGGUGUGAAAGGUUGCGGAUCAACCGUAAGACUGCAGAUGAAACUGGCAGACUAGAGUACAGUAGAGGUAACCGGAAUUCGUGGUGUAGCAGUGAAAUGCGUAGAUAUCGCGAAGAACUCUCGUGGCGAAGGCGGUUUACUGGACAGCAACUGACACUGAGGCUCGAAGGUGAGGGGAGCGAACGGGAUUAGAUACCCAAGUAGUC
rnacentral:rRNA from 1 species